AUAUAGGUGUGAAACCUCCAACACUAUAUGGCCAGUGUUUCAGUUUCAUUGUCCAAACCCUGUACAUAAAAUAUUUUUGUUCUUUGGCCCUAGUGUUUAAGUGGUUGUGAAGCCCACAAGUGUGUAAAACUUCUGAUUACCCGAUGGGCCACACUUAUAGUGUUGUAAAAAUGCAAGUAACGUUUAUUUACAAAAUUU